GACGAACGCUGGCGGCGUGCCUAAUACAUGCAAGUCGAGCGAACCGACGAGGUGCUUGCACCUUUGACGUUAGCGGCGAACGGGUGAGUAACACGUAAGGAAUCUACCUAUAAGUGGGGGAUAACAUCCGGAAACGGGUGCUAAUACCGCAUAAUAACCCACACCACAUGGUGUAGGUUUGAAAGAUGGCUCUGCUGUCACUUAUAGAUGACCUUGCGGUGCAUUAGCUAGUUGGUGGGGUAAUAGCCUACCAAGGCGACGAUACAUAGCCGACCUGAGAGGGUGAUCGGCCACACUGGGACUGAGACACGGCCCAG
rnacentral:rRNA from 1 species